rnacentral:rRNA from 1 species
GACGUAGGGCGCGAGCGUUGUCCGGAUUUAUUGGGCGUAAAGAGCUCGUGGGCGGCUUGUCGCGUCGACUGUGAAACCUGCGGCUCAACCGUAUGGUCUGCAGUCGAUACGGGCAGGCUAGAGUUCGGUAGGGGAGACUGGAAUUCCUGGUGUAGCGGUGAAAUGCGCAGAUAUCAGGAGGAACACCGAGUGGCGAAGGCAGGUCUCUGGGCCGAUACUGACGCUGAGGAGCGAAAGCGUGGGGAGCGAACAGG